GAUGAAGAACGCAGCGAAAUGCGAUAAGUAAUGUGAAUUGCAGAAUUCAGUGAAUCAUCGAAUCUUUGAACGCACAUUGCGCCCCCUGGUAUUCCGGGGGGCAUGCCUGUCCGAGCGUCAUUACAACCCUCAAGCUCAGCUUGGUGUUGGGCCCCGCCGCCCCGGCGGGCCCUAAAGUCAGUGGCGGUGCCGUCCGGCUCCGAGCGUAGUAAUUCUUCUCGCUCUGGAGGUCCGGUCGUGUGCUCGCCAGCAACCCCCAAUUUUUUUCAGGUUGACCUCGGAUCAGGUAGGGAUACCCGCUGAUCUUAAGCAUAUCAAUAAGCGGAGGA
rnacentral:misc_RNA from 1 species